rnacentral:rRNA from 1 species
CAGCAUAAUGGAUAGCAAUAUCUAUGGUGGCGACCGGCGCACGGGUGCGUAACGCGUAUGCAACCUACCUUUAACAGGGGGAUAACACUGAGAAAUCGGUACUAAUAUCCCAUAACAUCAAGAGGGGCAUCCCUUUUGGUUGAAAACUCCGGUGGUUAUGGAUGGGCAUGCGUUGUAUUAGCUAGUUGGUGAGGUAACGGCUCACCAAGGCGACGAUACAUAGGGGGACUGAGAGGUUAACCCCCACACUGGUACUGAGACACGGACCAGACUCC